rnacentral:rRNA from 1 species
UACGGAAGGGGCGAGCGUUGUUCGGAAUUACUGGGCGUAAAGAGCGCGUAGGCGGCUUACCAAGUUGGAGGUGAAAUCCCAGAGCUCAACUCCGGAACUGCCUUCAAAACUGGAAGGCUCGAGUCCGGAAGAGGCAAGUGGAAUUUCCAGUGUAGAGGUGAAAUUCGUAGAUAUUUGGAAGAACACCAGUGGCGAAGGCGGCGCCCUGGUCCGGUACUGACGCUGAGGCGCGAAAGCGUGGGGAGCAAACAGG